AAUUAUUUAUUUUCAUUUUACUUAAAAUAUAUGUUUUUGUUAAGUUAACAUAUGUUUUUCUAAUCAAGUCUACGUAAUUGUGUCUAUUAUUCACUGUACAUAAUACUAAUGUGUUACUUGAUGGCAUAACAUUUAAGUUAAGUCAAUUAGGAUCGAUAUACUUUGUAUAUCCACAAGGUGGCAGUAAUGCAAAAACAGUUGUAAUGAAACCGCGAAGAACAAGAAGGUUUCACGGCUUGGGCCUGCUCAUGCGCAAGACUUCAAAUUUAACUCAAAAACGUUGUUUUGGCGCCAAGCUGCUGUUUCUUUGAGAGAUCCUGCCUUUACCUGCUCCCUCCUAUACUGAUGUGGUGUAUGUGGUACUGCUGAGCUUGUAUGUGAUCUGAACCAUUGUAAAGGUUGCAGUUCAAAGGCCUGAGGUGGAAGCAGAAUUUGUGAGGAUUACUACUGCUCCACUUGUUCCAAGGCUUUUUGCACAACUUGACCAAUACACUGACCAGCUCAUAAAAGUCUUCAAGAAAAAAGGAGGCGCUGCAGUGAAGAAAAUUAGACAAACUUUGGCCCCAGCCACAAAGAAGCAAACUAUUGAAAAGGGGAGGGAGUGUGUCCUCAGGGCACUACCUUUUUACCUGAAUGAAGACCCAAGCAUCCUCUUCAAAGAAUAAUUGCUACAGCUGUUCAGAGGGAGCUGGAACAAAUCACCCUUGCUAUCUUUACCAUCGAAAGAGCUGAUGCCAGCACUCCUCCAGCCGAUGUGGCUAUAACCAUCUACGGCAGGGGUAGGCAACCUUUCUGAUGGCGAGUGCCAUUUAAAAUUUCCUCAGAAGUCAA